rnacentral:rRNA from 1 species
CAGUAGCCACGGUAAUACGAAGGGGGCUAGCGUUGCUCGGAAUUACUGGGCGUAAAGGGAGCGUAGGCGGACAUUUAAGUCAGGGGUGAAAUCCCGGGGCUCAACCUCGGAAUUGCCUUUGAUACUGGGUGUCUUGAGUAUGAGAGAGGUAUGUGGAACUCCGAGUGUAGAGGUGAAAUUCGUAGAUAUUCGGAAGAACACCAGUGGCGAAGGCGACAUACUGGCUCAUUACUGACGCUGAGGCUCGAAAGCGUGGGGAGCAAACAGGAUUAGAUACCCGCGUAGUCCCUGUCUCUUAUAC